GACGAACGCUGGCGGCGUGCUUAACACAUGCAAGUCGAACGGAAAGGCCUGCUUUCCCUUGUGAUUGCGGGUACUCGAGUGGCGAACGGGUGAGUAACACGUGAGUGAUCUGCCCCCAACUUGGGUAUAAGCCUGGGAAACUGGGUCUAAUUCCCGAUAGGACUGCAGGGUGGUGCCUGUGGUGGAAAACGAUUUUCUAGUGGUUGGGGAUGAGCUCGCGGCCUAUCAGCUUGUUGGUGGGGUAAUGGCCUACCAAGGCGGCGACGGGUAGCCGGCCUGAGAGGGUGGACGGCCACAUUGGGACUGAGAUACGGCCCAGACUCCUACGGGAGGCAGCAGUGGGGAAUAUUGCACAAUGGGCGGAAGCCUGAUGCAGCGACGCCGCGUGGGGGAUGACGGCCUUCGGGUUGUAAACUCCUUUCGACCGCGAGGAAGCCACCUGGUUGGAAGGGUGGUGACGGUAGUGGUAGAAGAAGCACCGGCUAACUACGUG
rnacentral:rRNA from 1 species